rnacentral:rRNA from 1 species
GGGGGGGGGGGGGGGGGGGCGUGAGGCAGGCAGGUCGAGCGGACAGACGAGGAGCUUGCUCCUCUGACGUUAGCGGCGGGCGGGUGAGUAACACGUGGAUAACCUACCUAUAAGACUGGGAUAACUUCGGGAAACCGGAGCUAAUACCGGAUAAUAUAUUGAACCGCAUGGUUCAAUAGUGAAAGACGGUUUUGCUGUCACUUAUAGAUGGAUCCGCGCCGCAUUAGCUAGUUGGUAAGGUAACGGCUUACCAAGGCAACGAUGCGUAGCCGACCUGAGAGGGUGAUCGGCCACACUGGAACUGAGACACGGUCCAGACUCCUACGGGAGGCAGCAGUAGGGAAUCUUCCGCAAUGGGCGAAAGCCUGACGGAGCAACGCCGCGUGAGUGAUGAAGGUCUUCGGAUCGUAAAACUCUGUUAUUAGGGAAGAACAGAUGUGUAAGUAACUAUGCACGUCUUGACGGUACCUAAUCAGAAAGCCACGGCUAACUACGUG